rnacentral:lncRNA from 1 species
GGUUAUUUUUGACUUUUUUUUUACUUGCUGAAUUGUACUGACCUCCAUUGUAAUUGUAGUCAUGUAGCAGAGAGUGCGAGUGUCGAAUGCCGACAUUCGUUAGCACGCUGUCAAGAAGAGGGCAGCAUCUGAGGUCGGGCCUUCACGACCGUCGAAGAGGCAUCAAGCACUAGCUCCAGAAGGCGUUUCAACAUUGAUCGUGAAACUCGAUGCCCCAUCGGCAUCAUUUUUCGAACC